CGGUUUGUCGCGUCUGCUGUGAAAUCCCGAGGCUCAACCUCGGGCCUGCAGUGGGUACGGGCAGACUAGAGUGCGGUAGGGGAGAUUGGAAUUCCUGGUGUAGCGGUGGAAUGCGCAGAUAUCAGGAGGAACACCGAUGGCGAAGGCAGAUCUCUGGGCCGUAACUGACGCUGAGGAGCGAAAGGGUGGGGAGCAAACAGGCUUAGAUACCCUGGUAGUCCACCCCGUAAACGUUGGGAACUAGUUGUGGGGUCCAUUCCACGGAUUCCGUGACGCAGCUAACGCAUUAAGUUCCCCGCCUGGGGAGUACGGCCGCAAGGCUAAAACUCAAAGGAAUUGACGGGGACCCGCACAAGCGGCGGAGCAUGCGGAUUAAUUCGAUGCAACGCGAAGAACCUUACCAAGGCUUGACAUAUACGAGAACGGGCCAGAAAUGGUCAACUCUUUGGACACUCGUAAACAGGUGGUGCAUGGUUGUCGUCAGCUCGUGUCGUGAGAUGUUGGGUUAAGUCCCGCAACGAGCGCAACCCUCGUUCUAUGUUGCCAGCACGUAAUGGUGGGAACUCAUGGGAUACUGCCGGGGUCAACUCGGAGGAAGGUGGGGAUGACGUCAAAUCAUCAUGCCCCUUAUGUCUUGGGCUUCACGCAUGCUACAAUGGCCGGUACAAAGGGCUGCAAUACCGUGAGGUGGAGCG
rnacentral:rRNA from 1 species